ensembl:lncRNA
GUGUCCAAUUCAGACACCUCAAGGUUGAGCUUGUUCAGGUGUUUGUUCACAAACGUGAUCAAUGUCUGAAAACAGAAAAGGAAAAAGGCUGUCACACUAUAUCCACACACACAUAUCAAAAAACAACAAAGCAAAGGACAUCCAGGUUGUGGCCAUAAUGUGCUAAUAAACUCCAAACCCAAAAAGGACGGACGAAGAACGGAUUUUGUCGCAAUCCCAAAGUGUCCCAUAUUUGGAGAAUUACUUUACACUUUAAUCAUUUUAAUUACUUUCAUUUGCCGUUUUAGCCGCUAAACUAAAGUAUCUGGCCGGCAGUCACUGUUUCGAAUGAUUCCACCAAUAUAUUACACAUCUGAAGAUAAAAGUUUGAAAACCGGCUUUCCGUGACAACGACUGGCUCAGAGUUCUGUACUUGUGUGGGACCGGAGAUCAAAGAGCAUGGACCUGCACCGCGGACUGCAGUGAAAGGCCCGGUUUAGGGGUUUAAAUACCCAUAGAGAGAUGGUCAUCUCUUUAAAUCUGCCUUCCUGAGACCUCGGAUUGCUGCUACUGUACCUUUUUGACAACAUUCAGCUUAUCUGGAGCAUGGUCAAACAGAGUGUCAAAAGCGUCGCGUUCUGUGAGGAGUAACAAAAAGAAUAAUAAUACUUCCGUCAAAAACCAAUGACGUCUGAAUGUUGCUGACAAAUCUUAAAUAAAAUCUCCAAUGCGCUCUUCUUGGUGGAGGACAUACCAUGUCUUCCAGAGAAGGCCCUGAGAGGGAAGAGGAAGAAAAACACACGGAUCAGAAGCAAAUUAUUAACAAUUUCACCCUUGAAUAUUCAUAGAAAAAUGAAAGGCGAGCACUUCCAGUCCAAUCACAGAGGAUUGCCACAGAAAAUGACAAUAAUGUAGCUGUGGCGUCAUAAUUUCAUUAACAAUGAACACAGGUACGCCUUCGGGUGCUCACAAAUAACCCGGGCAUCGUUUCCGGGGCUUCCACAGUGCCACAUACUGUACCAAUCCCCGCAGCAGAACAAUGGCAGUUGGACGUUGAUGCCAUGAAAGACGUGCCCUUCGUAAGCACGCAAGUGUUCUAUGGGAAUGGAGAGGCCACUCUCUGGUUGUUGUAACAAUGUUAGCACUUUGGAUGAUGUUGCUGUUGGAAAAGCUCAGGUGGUUUCUUUCUGCUGUGGUGUCUCCGAGGAGGAGAUAUCGCAGCGGGCAGGACAGCGAGAAAAAAUAGCUUGCACACACAAAUCUGUCAUGGCAAAGGCGGGCAGAACUGGGCAACGGGUCCUGGUGGUGUGGUAAUAACUAUUUCCACUGUGACCGUGUGUGUGUCUGUUAUUAACAGUGUAUCCAGCUAACGUGAAAAAGUGUGUGCGUAUGUGCUGGCCCGCCGUUAUCUCCCCCGCCGCUGCCGUCUGGCUGCAGGAGCGCCUCACAGUAAGACAAUAAAGGUGUAUGUCUGUGUCUUAAGGGUGCCACAUAUCUGGUUGAAUCACAACGGUUGUCGAUUCAGUGGUGCACAAUGAUUGUGCUCAAAGUGCAUGCUGCACAGUUCUGUUUGCAGGGGGGGAAGAAGACAUUCAAGGUCCCAGCCGCAGUUGGGAUUUCCACUGACUGCAGUGGGGUUUUUUAACGGUCAUCAUGCAUACGUGCAUAAAUGCUUUUGGGUUACUUAUUAGGAUCAGAUGAAUUUUAUUUUGCCAAAUUGAUGGAGGGAUUUUGAUGCCAGCAAUUAUUAUCUAAUCUAUCAUAUAAUCUGACUUUAAAGUGGCCGAAAGACGCUCUAUUUACAAUGAUUGUGGAUGAGCACGGAGGAAAAAGUGGGUCGACCAUCGGCUGGCAAAUGGGAAUGCGCGUCAGUCUUCUCAUUCGCUGUCGUGAGCAAUCCCUACGUAGCGGAAAUGGUGGAUGGUGGAACUGCUGGAGUAAUGGUAUUGCGUUGAGAAUAAAGUUGGAAAGAGAGUGAAAGAGCACAGUGGACGGAGGACACAAAGAGGGAAAGGAAUAAAACCCCUCACAUGGGUGGGUGGGUGGUGAAGUAUCUGAUGCAAUUACUAUUUCUGUCAUUGCAGCAGAUACCUAUUAGCAGCACUGUUCUUGCACCUUGUGCGUUGGGGUGUCAAAACGAGUCGGGUAGCAGAGCGUACUCACUCUGUGUUGCCGGUGAUCUCCUCUUGAAUUUGCCUGGACUGAAGGAUGCCUUCUCUUUUCUGAA